rnacentral:rRNA from 1 species
GGGCGUUAAGUUGCAGGGUAUAGACCCGAAACCCGGUGAUCUAGCCAUGGGCAGGUUGAAGGUUGGGUAACACUAACUGGAGGACCGAACCGACUAAUGUUGAAAAAUUAGCGGAUGACCUGUGGCUGGGGGUGAAAGGCCAAUCAAACCGGGAGAUAGCUGGUUCUCCCCGAAAGCUAUUUAGGUAGCGCCUCGUGAAUUCAUCUCCGGGGGUAGAGCACUGUUUCGGCUAGGGGGCCAUCCCGGCUUACCAACCCGAUGCAAACUGCGAAUACCGGAGAAUGUUAUCACGGGAGACACACGGCGGGUGCUAACGUCCGUCGUGAAGAGGGAAACAACCCAGACCGCCAGCUAAGGUCCCAAAGUCAUGGUUAAGUGGGAAACGAUGUGGGAAGGCCCAGACAGCCAGGAUGUUGGCUUAGAAGCAGCCAUCAUUUAAAGAAAGCGUAAUAGCUCACUGGUCGAGUCGGCCUGCGCGGAAGAUGUAACGGGGCUAAACCAUGCACCGAAGCUGCGGCAGCGACACUGUGUGUUGUUGGGUAGGGGAGCGUUCUGUAAGCCUGCGAAGGUGGCCUGUGAGGGU